rnacentral:rRNA from 1 species
UACAGAGGGUGCGAGCGUUAAUCGGAAUUACUGGGCGUAAAGAGCUCGUAGGCGGUUCAGUAAGUCGGGUGUGAAAACUUUGGGCUUAACCCAAAGCGUGCAUCUGAUACUGCUGUGACUUGAGUUCGGUAGGGGAGUGGGGAAUUCCUAGUGUAGCGGUGAAAUGCGCAGAUAUUAGGAAGAACACCAGUGGCGAAGGCGGCUCACUGGUCCGGUACUGACGCUGAGGUGCGAAAGCGUGGGGAGCAAACAGG